UCGAGUAUCUUCGGCAAUGGGGGCAACCCUGACCGAGCGAUGCCGCGUGGGCGAUGAAGGCCUUCGGGUUGUAAAGCCCUGUCGAGGGGGAGAAAAGCCCGAAAGGGUGUGAUCUAUCCCUGGAGGAAGCUCGGGCUAAGUUCGUGCCAGCAGCCGCGGUAAGACGAACCGAGCGAACGUUGUUCGGAAUCACUGGGCUUAAAGGGCGCGUAGGCGGGCCGCCGCGUCCGGGGUGAAAUCCUCCCGCUCAACGGGAGAACGGCCUCGGAUACGGGCGGUCUGGAGGGGGGUAGGGGCACGCGGAACUGUGGGUGGAGCGGUGAAAUGCGUUGAUAUCCACAGGAACUCCGGUGGCGAAGGCGGCGUGCUGGACCCCACCUGACGCUGAGGCGCGAAAGCCAGGGGAGCGAACGG
rnacentral:rRNA from 1 species